GUAGGUGGCAAGCGUUGUCCGGAAUUACUGGGUGUAAAGGGCGUGUAGGCGGAGCUGCAAGUCAGAUGUGAAAUCUCCGGGCUUAACCCGGAAACUGCAUUUGAAACUGUAGCCCUUGAGUAUCGGAGAGGCAAGCGGAAUUCCUAGUGUAGCGGUGAAAUGCGUAGAUAUUAGGAGGAACACCAGUGGCGAAGGCGGCUUGCUGGACGACAACUGACGCUGAGGCGCGAAAGCGUGGGGAGCAAACAGGAUUAGAUACCCUGGUAGUCCACGCUAUAAACGAUGAAUACUAGGUGUGGGGGGACUGACCCCCUCCGUGCCGCAGUUAACACAAUAAGUAUUCCACCUGGGGAGUACGACCGCAAGGUUG
rnacentral:rRNA from 1 species